UUUUUUAGGUAUUGCGGGCAGUAAGGGUUGAGACGAGACGUGAGAUGCAUUCGUAGUGGUCGAUAGAGCUUCCGACCCGGUAUGAUUGGUUUGGAUACUACCCUCUCUAUUUCUGUUAAUGUAGCUUAGGCAGUUUAUAUUGUUCAGUAUUUUUAUUACAUUUGAAUAUGUGGGUGUUCAUGAAUGUAAUAAAAGGAUUUUUGAAAUUUUGUAAAAUAGAAAGGUUUUCUACCCCUCGUGAUAGUGUGUUUUAAAAAGAAAAAGUUUCCGUGUGGGAAACAGCUUUCAAAAGAGUUUCUCGUAGUUUUUCUCGACUUAGCAUUUUAAAAUAGGUUUCCGGGUAGGAAACAUUUCAACUGAUAGUUGUGGAUUUAUGUUUAAAAUCUGUAUAUGAACAUAUGGAGAAUGGUGUAUGAAUGUACGAAUGUAUAGUGGUUUGUAUGUUCAUUUAGUUGUGGUUGUAUCCUGAUAUACUUGUUGUACUUGUGCGAUGCCGUGCAAAUACAGUGGAGACUCUGUCUGUGUGAACAGUGGACUCCCUGUAUUUGUGGCGGAUCUGGCAUACCCU
rnacentral:lncRNA from 1 species